AAUAAAUAAAUAAAUAAGUAAACAAACAAAAAAAGUUGUCUCCUAAGAAAACUAAAAGGCUCAUAAACCUCUCACAUCACAUAUAGACAGUGUGACUGACUAGUUAACUAGAUGGACUAUAUAAUCAUACUACAUACAUGCAUGCACACGCGCGCGCGCACACACACACACACACACACACACACACACACACACACACACAUGUGCUUACUACACACAUAUCUACAAGCAGCUAGCCCAGACACAGGCCUUCCUGACACACAGCUUCCAGCAAAGUCAUUGUUUUUACUGUCACCUUCUCAUUUUUAGAAUCAUCGCCCCAGGUCCAGAGGACCCUUUGCCUAAAAAGCAAGAUAUCAUGGCUAUUCAUGAGGUAAAUACUUGCUUUUGAUAUACACAUUUUUAUCCUUUUUGUAGGAUAUACAGGUGAUUUAAGCAAGAUUGUCUGCCAUAAUUCUACUAGGCAUCAUAGUCUGUAUCCUCUCACUGAGGGGUAGGGUAGCAUAGCACCAUGUUUGUCUAUUUGAAUCAGCUGACCAGGUCCUGUGUCCCUAAUAUGCUUUGCAGUGUUUUGCAGCCAAGCCAUAUUGUAUUGAAGUGAACGUAAAGCCAUGGGGUGGGGAGUUUUGUUAAAGUGCAGAAAUACAAAUUCUCAAUUUCUUUGUCCGCCCCCCCCCCUUUUUGAUGCAGUGCUGGGAACUGGCUUCAGGACCUUGUACAUGAGAGGGAUUCCUGCUGGCGAAGACAAUCCUGCCCAUCUGUCACAACGCAAUGCUGAUUUGUUCCCCUUUAAGAAGACAAGCUUGAAACCCGGGAUCUCACUCUGAGGCACUGCUGGGAAAGGGGGCAGGAAAUGGUGUCUCUGUCCUCAGACCACAAGACGUAAGCAUCUAAGUACACACUGUCAACAACAGAAGGAUGCUUUUCUAAGGGACACUGAGACACUCUUUUCCCCAAAGCCUCAAGGGGUCUUCUUGCUACUAGAAACCACCAAAAUAAACCCCAAACCGCAAUAAUCACAUGGUGGGAAAAGGGUUGGCUCCACACUGGAGCUUACAAAUGUCUACCUCGGUGCCUGGACAAAGCCACACUCAUUGUCUCUACUGCCCAAUCCCUGGAAGAGGAAAAGACACCGUGGGAGUCACGGGCUCAUAUUGGAAUAUCUGGGUCCCCGGCUGAAAUUUCAUGGAUACGGCCGGGUGAGACACAGAGGCCGGAAGAGCUCAUUCACAUCUGCCUCGGCUUGGGGACAGGAUGGAGGAUACUUAUCCCAAGUUAGUGGCGCCCAAAAAGGGAUGGGGCGGGCAUGUCUUCCUAGAUGAUGUAAACCCAGGGCAUCCCAAGGACAGGUAGACCUUUGUGCUCAAGCCCAGACUGAAACUCAACAGGAACAGAGAAACACAGCUGCCCCAUCAGGGUCUAUCUGGGUGCCCAAGAGACUCCUGAAAAGAAUUAACAGAUGUGCACACAGGCCCCGAUUUGUCUCCUUCCAGAAUGACCAGCUCACAGGAGAGUCCCAGCUCUUGUCGCCUUUCAAGGUUGUGAGCUACACAGUCAAGCAUCUGAAGGCUCUUUAUGAUCCAACCUCUAACUGAUGCAGAAGGAGCUAGGAUGUCCUCAGUUAAGACUGAGCGCAGGGUAGGACUGAACCUGAACACCAAAGCAAACAGCAAGCACACCAAUGGUGUUGUUUGAAACAAGUCUUUUGUUGUUGUUGUUGUUGUUAAGGCCAGCUUUUCAUUGAUUUUAGUGGUAACAAUAGCAGGCUAUUUUUCUAUCAGUGUAACUAUUCUUUAAUAAAAACUCAGCAACUUUCUAAAUAAAA